rnacentral:rRNA from 1 species
UGCCAGCAGCCGCGGUAAUACGGAGGGGGUUAGCGUUAUCCGGAAUCAUUGGGUUUAAAGGGUCCGUAGGCGGUCUGGUGAGUCAGAGGUGAAAUCCUGCAGCUCAACUGUAGCAUUGCCUUUGAUACUGCCAGACUUGAGUUAUUGUGAAGUAGUUAGAAUGUGUAGUGUAGCGGUGAAAUGCAUAGAUAUUACACAGAAUACCGAUUGCGAAAGCAGAUUACUAACAAUAUACUGACGCUGAGGGACGAAAGCGUGGGUAGCGAACAGGAUUAGAUA